rnacentral:rRNA from 1 species
AGAGUUUGAUCAUGGCUCAGGAUGAACGCUAGCGGCAGGCUUAAUACAUGCAAGUCGAGGGGCAGCGGGUGUAGCAAUACAUGCCGGCGACCGGCGCACGGGUGCGUAACGCGUAUGCAACCUACCUUUAACCGGAGGAUAGCCCAGAGAAAUCUGGAUUAAUACUCCAUAACAUUGCGAAAAGGCAUCUUUUUGCAAUUAAAGCUCCGGCGGUUUUAGAUGGGCAUGCGUGACAUUAGCUAGUUGGUGAGGUGACGGCUCACCAAGGCUACGAUGUCUAGGGGUUCUGAGAGGAUUAUCCCCCACACUGGUACUGAGACACGGACCAGACUCCUACGGGAGGCAGCAGUAAGGAAUAUUGGUCAAUGGACGCAAGUCUGAACCAGCCAUGCCGCGUGAAGGAUGACGGCCCUAUGGGUUGUAAACUUCUUUUGUACGGGAAAAAACCCCUGGUCGUGAACCGGGGCUGAUGGUACCGUAAGAAUAAGCAUCGGCUAACUCCGUGCCAGCAGCCGCGGUAAUACGGAGGAUGCAAGCGUUAUCCGGAUUCAUUGGGUUUAAAGGGUGCGUAGGCGGGAUAAUAAGUCAGUGGUGAAAUCCUACAGCUUAACUGUAGAACUGCCAUUGAUACUGUUAACCUUGAGUAUAUUUGAAGUGGGCGGAAUGUGUCAUGUAGCGGUGAAAUGCUUAGAUAUGACGCA